AGGUAAGCUACUAAGAGCGAAUGGUGGAUGCCUUGACUGGUAAAGGCGAUGAAGGACGUACUAGACUGCGAUAAGCUACGGGGAGCUGUCAAGAAGCUUUGAUCCGUAGAUUUCCGAAUGGGGCAACCCAAUGUAUAGAGAUAUACAUUACCUAUAUAGGAGCGAACGAGGGGAAUUGAAACAUCUUAGUACCCUCAGGAAAAGAAAUCAAUAGAGAUUGCGUCAGUAGCGGCGAGCGAAAGCGCAAGAGGGCAAACCCAGUGCUUGCACUGGGGGUUGUAGGACUGUAAUGUGCAAGAGGUAAGUUUAGCAGAACAUUCUGGAAAGUAUAACCAUAGAGGGUGAUAGUCCCGUAUGCGAAAAACAAACCUUAGCUAGCAGUAUCCUGAGUAGGGCGGGACACGAGGAAUCCUGUCUGAAUCCGGGUCGACCACGAUCCAACCCUAAAUACUAAUACCAGAUCGAUAGUGCACAAGUACCGUGAGGGAAAGGUGAAAAGAACUGAGGUGAUCAGAGUGAAAUAGAACCUGAAACCAUUUGCUUACAAUCAUUCAGAGCCCUAUGUAGCAAUACAGGGUGAUGGACUGCCUUUUGCAUAAUGAGCCUGCGAGUUGUGGUGUCUGGCAAGGUUAAGCAAACGCGAAGCCGUAGCGAAAGCGAGUCUGAAUAGGGCGCUUAGUCAGAUGCUGCAGACCCGAAACGAAGUGAUCUAUCCAUGAGCAAGUUGAAGCUAGUGUAAGAACUAGUGGAGGACUGAACCCAUAGGCGUUGAAAAGCCCCGGGAUGACUUGUGGAUAGGGGUGAAAGGCCAAUCAAACUUCGUGAUAGCUGGUUCUCUCCGAAAUAUAUUUAGGUAUAGCGUUGUGUCGUAAUAUAAGGGGGUAGAGCACUGAAUGGGCUAGGGCAUACACCAAUGUACCAAACCCUAUCAAACUCCGAAUACCUUAUAUGUAAUCACAGCAGUCAGGCGGCGAGUGAUAAAAUCCGUCGUCAAGAGGGAAACAACCCAGACUACCAGCUAAGGUCCCUAAAUCUUACUUAAGUGGAAAACGAUGUGAAGUUACUUAAACAACCAGGAGGUUGGCUUAGAAGCAGCCAUCCUUUAAAGAAAGCGUAAUAGCUCACUGGUCUAGUGAUUUUGCGCGGAAAAUAUAACGGGGCUAAAGUAAGUACCGAAGCUGUAGACUUAGUUUACUAAGUGGUAGGAGAGCGUUCUAUUUGCGUCGAAGGUAUACCGGUAAGGAGUGCUGGAGCGAAUAGAAGUGAGCAUGCAGGCAUGAGUAGCGAUAAUUAAUGUGAGAAUCAUUAACGCCGUAAACCCAAGGUUUCCUACGCGAUGCUCGUCAUCGUAGGGUUAGUCGGGUCCUAAGUCGAGUCCGAAAGGGGUAGACGAUGGCAAAUUGGUUAAUAUUCCAAUACCAACAUUAGUGUGCGAUGGAAGGACGCUUAGGGCUAAGGGGGCUAGCGGAUGGAAGUGCUAGUCUAAGGUCGUAGGAGGUUAUACAGGCAAAUCCGUAUAACAAUACUCCGAGAACUGAAAGGCUUUUUGAAGUCUUCGGAUGGAUAGAAGAACCCCUGAUGCCGUCGAGCCAAGAAAAGUUUCUAAGUUUAGCUAAUGUUGCCCGUACCGUAAACCGACACAGGUGGGUGGGAUGAGUAUUCUAAGGCGCGUGGAAGAACUCUCUUUAAGGAACUCUGCAAAAUAGCACCGUAUCUUCGGU
rnacentral:rRNA from 1 species